CGCGGCCUAUCAGCUUGUUGAAGAGGUAACGGCUCACCAAGGCAUCGACGGGUAGCUGGUCUGAGAGGAUGAUCAGCCACACUGGGACUGAGACACGGCCCAGACUCCUACGGGAGGCAGCAGUGGGGAAUCUUGCACAAUGGGCGAAAGCCUGAUGCAGCAACGCCGCGUGCGGGAAGAAGGCCCUAGGGUUGUAAACCGCUUUCAGUAGGGAAGAGAAUGACGGUACCUACAGAAGAAGGUGCGGCCAACUACGUGCCAGCAGCCGCGGUGACACGUAGGCACCAAGCGUUAUCCGGAUUUAUUGGGCGUAAAGAGCUCGUAGGCGGUUCGGUAAGUCGGGUGUGAAAACUCUGGGCUCAACCCAGAGAGGCCACCCGAUACUGCUGUGACUAGAGUGCGGUAGGGGAGCGGGGAAUUCCUGGUGUAGCGGUGAAACGCGCAGAUAUCAGGAGGAACACCAGCGGCGAAGGCGCCGCUCUGGGCCGUAACUGACGCUGAGGAGCGAAAGCAUGGGUAGCAAACAGGAUUAGAUACCCUGGUAGUCCAUGCCGUAAACGUUGGGCACUAGGUGUGGGUCUCAACCAACGAGAUCCGCGCCGUCGCUAACGCAUUAAGUGCCCCGCCUGGGGAGUACGG
rnacentral:rRNA from 1 species